UACGGAGGGUGCAAGCGUUAUCCGGAUUCACUGGGUUUAAAGGGUGCGUAGGUGGCUUUGUAAGUCAGUGGUGAAAGCCCGGAGCUCAACUCCGGAACUGCCAUUGAUACUGCUUAGCUUGAAUCAGGUCGAGGUGGAUGGAAUAUUACAUGUAGCGGUGAAAUGCUUAGAUAUGUAAUAGAACACCGAUUGCGAAGGCAGUUCACUAGGCCUGUAUUGACACUGAGGCACGAAAGCGUGGGGAUCAAACAGG
rnacentral:rRNA from 1 species